UACGUAGGGUGCGAGCGUUAAUCGGAAUUACUGGGCGUAAAGCGUGCGCAGGCGGUUAUGUAAGACAGAUGUGAAAUCCCCGGGCUCAACCUGGGACCUGCAUUUGAGACUGCAUAGCUAGAGUAUGGUAGAGGGGGAUGGAAUUCCGCGUGUAGCAGUGAAAUGCGUAGAUAUGCGGAGGAACACCGAUGGCGAAGGCAACCCCCUGGACCUGUACUGACGCUCAUGCACGAAAGCGUGGGGAGCAAACAGG
rnacentral:rRNA from 1 species